rnacentral:rRNA from 1 species
ACGCUCGACACCUACUGGAGGCAGCAGUGGGAAAUAUUGCACAAUGGGGGAAACCCUGAUGCAGCGACGCCGCGUGGAGGAAGAAGGUCUUCGGAUUGUAAACUCCUGUUGUUGGGGAAAAAGAGGAUGGUACCCAACAAGGAAGUGACGGCUAACUACGUGCCAACAGCCGCGGUAAUCUGAGCGGGCUGGCAAGGC